rnacentral:misc_RNA from 1 species
UCCGGUUUGUCACCGGCAGUCCCCCAUGAGUCCCCGCCGUGACGCGCUGGCAACUGGGAGCGGGGGUUGCGCUCGUUGCGGGACUUAACCCAACAUCUCACGACACGAGCUGACGACAGCCAUGCAGCACCUGUGCAGGGACUCCGAAGAGGGGUCCUGGUUUCUCAGGACUUUCCCCUGCAUGUCAAGCCCAGGUAAGGUUCUUCGCGUUGCGUCGAAUUAAACCACAUGCUCCACCGCUUGUGCGGGCCCCCGUCAAUUUCUUUGAGUUUUAAUCUUGCGACCGUACUUCCCAGGCGGCAUAUUUAUCGCGUUGGCUACGCCACAAAAGGGGUCGAUUCCUUUUACAGCAAAUAUGCACCGUUUACAGCUAGGACUAC